UGGGGAAUUUUGGACAAUGGGGGAAACCCUGAUCCAGCGACGCCGCGUGGAGGACGAAGGCCUUCGGGUUGUAAACUCCUUUUGGAGGGGAAGAAUAAAUUGACGGUACCCUCAGAAAAAGCCACGGCUAACUACGUGCCAGCAGCCGCGGUAAUACGUAGGUGGCGAGCGUUACUCGGAAUUACUAGGCGUAAAGCGUAUGGAGGUGGUUAGAUAAGUCUAUGGUGAAAUUUCCUGGCUCAACUGGGAAGGGACAUAGAUACUAUCUGGCUUGAGUGUGGAGGGGGAGACGGAAUUCCUGGUGUAGCGGUGAAAUGCGUAGAUAUCAGGAGGAACACCGAUGGCGAAAGCAGUCUCCUGGCCCAAUACUGACACUGAGGUACGAAAGCUAGGGUAGCAAACA
rnacentral:rRNA from 1 species